AUGACAGAAGAGAAAGGAAAGAUGACGGAAGUAAAACAGAACAUGAAAGCAACGCAUUCUCGCCGUAUGUAAUCAGCUCUUCUCAUGGGUAGCGAGGCUACUCCCUCCCGCAAACGAGCAUUUGCUCCGGAGCAAAUUUUUA